rnacentral:snoRNA from 14 species
UGCCCCAGUAAUAUGGGAGCAGUUGUAGCAUUCCUCUGUGGGAAAGAAACUGUUACACAGUUUUAUGCCUCUUAGCUACAUAGAAAGAGGAAUAUGGGUGACAGACACAA